rnacentral:rRNA from 1 species
UACGAAGGUGGCAAGCGUUAUUCGGAUUUACUGGGCGUACAGGGAGCGUAGGCGGUUCGGUAAGCCCUUUGUGAAAUCUUCAGGCUUAACCUGGAACAGUCGGAGGGGACUGCCGGGCUAGAGGACGGGAGAGGAGCGCGGAAUUCCCGGUGUAGCGGUGAAAUGUGUAGAUAUCGGAAGGAACGCCAGCAGCGAAAGCGGCACACUGGGCCUUUUCUGACGCUGAGGCACGAAAGCCAGGGGAGCGAACGGG